rnacentral:rRNA from 1 species
CGUCCCAGUUCGGAUUGUAGUCUGCAACCCGACUACAUGAAGCUGGAAUCGCUAGUAAUCGCGAAUCAGAAUGUCGCGGUGAAUACGUUCCCGGGUCUUGUACACACCGCCCGUCACACCAUGGGAGUCGGAAAUGCCCGAAGCCGGUGACCCAACCAAAAGGAGGGAGCCGUCGAAGGCAGGUCUGAUAACUGGGGUGAAGUCGUAACAAGGUACC